rnacentral:lncRNA from 1 species
GGAAAGGCAACAAGAGGGGGGUGAAUGGGAGCCGAUUCAAGUUUUCUCCAAGAACUUCGGCUAAAAACCCACAAGCCUCUCUUCUAGGAAAAUCAAGUUCACUUAGCUAUGCACAAACUACUGGACCUAGGAAUGAUGCUAGGAACCUAAUUUGAGAAUAGCGGAAGCAAGAAAGACUUCAAACAAGCUACGGAAGACAAACUUUGAAAACCAACACCUCUGUGCGGAAAAUUCCGGAGGAACCUUUGGAAAAUUCCGGACGUGCGAAAAUUUCCGGAGAAACCUUCAGAAAUUUCCGGAGGUCCGGAGAUUUCCGGAAUUAUGUCCGGAGAUUUUCGGAAUUCCAAAACAGCCUGCAUGAAGGUGGAAGAAAAAAUCUAAAACUCGAUCAAACGACCUCCAAAAAUCACAAAAUUGGAACAUAGCUUUCCAACAACAUAACAAACAUAUUCCCAAAAGAUCUCAAAAAGAUUAGUCAAACAAAGGGAAUAAAAUAUUUUGUUAAGAAUGGCGGUUUUUCAACCCUAGAACUUGAAUCUCCCCGAUCUAUGAACCCGUGAGGAGUUAGAUGAAUUCCUUUGGUUAAGGCCUCCAUUCCCAUAAGAAAAUCUUCGGUUCAAUACAUGGAUACAAGUUCAAAUCAU